GAUGAACGCUGGCGGCGUGCCUAAUACAUGCAAGUCGAGCGAACGGACGAGAAGCUUGCUUCUCUGAUGUUAGCGGCGGACGGGUGAGUAACACGUGGAUAACCUACCUAUAAGACUGGGAUAACUUCGGGAAACCGGAGCUAAUACCGGAUGAUAUUUUGAACCGCAUGGUUCAAAAGUGAAAGACGGUCUUGGUGUCACUUAUAGAUGGAUCCGCGCUGCAUUAGCUAGUUGGUAAGGUAACGGCUUGCCAAGGCAACGAUGCAUAGCCGACCUGAGAGGGUGAUCGGCCACACUGGAACUGAGACACGGUCCAGACUCCUACGGGAGGCAGCAGUAGGGAAUCUUCCGCAAUGGGCGAAAGCCUGACGGAGCAACGCCGCGUGAGUGAUGAAGGUCUUCGGAUCGUAAAACUCUGUUAUUAGGGAAGAACAUAUGUGUAAGUAACUGUGCACAUCUUGACGGUACCUAAUCAGAAAGCCACGGCUAACUACGUG
rnacentral:rRNA from 1 species